rnacentral:lncRNA from 1 species
UUUGGUUCCAAAUUAAAAACAGAGUUCAAAUCUUCAAGAGAAUGUUCUUCCAUCUUCAAGAACUCUAUCACAACUUACAAUGGAAAACUAUGACCACAAUAUGAACUAAAAUUAUGCUAUAAUGUAUACAACUUAUAUAAAAUAAGAAACAAUCACCUUUAACAUUUUUAUUGUUACAUCACAUCACAUUAUUAAAUAUAAUACUUUUAUAUCUUUUUUUUAUUAUUCACAUGUAACUUUAUAUUUUUUAUAUUAGGAACAACUUCCAAUAUAUUCUAUUUACAUAAAAAACAAAAAAAUAAAGAAUCUUACAACAUCAAAUAUCAAACUAUCAAUACAUGUCAUACAUGUCACUCUUAAAAAAAUUUAUAUAUUGAAAAUUAUAAUUUUGCAUUAUUUUACACUUCAAAUAUAUAAUAACAUAUUGCUUAUUUUCAACUAUAAAAUAUCAUGUCCAUGACAAAAACAUCAAAACUUAUCAAAUCCUUUUUUAUCUUUCCAAAUGGAAAUUAUUGAUGGAAAUAACNNNNNNNNNNNNNNNNNNNNNNNNNNNNNNNNNNNNNCGAAAACCACUUUUCAUAUCAUUCAUUAUGGAAAUCAGGUAAUGAUCCAACUAUUCUAAUGCAAAUUAAUUCAUAAAUUUCUUCAUUAUUCAGUAUUAUCUCAAAAAAAAAAAAAUCACAUCUAAAUUCUCGAUACACCAUAUCAUGUUAACAUAUAUUUGAGUUUUCUAUUUCUUAUACAUUUUUUUUUAGUGCUAUGCGGAGGUAGAUCCAAAAUUUGUUCUUCAAUAUUGGAGAGAACUACAAAGUAUUUGGCAUAUUUUACACAACGGAGAUUGUUCUAAUCUGCUGCACUUUAACAACAACUUCGAUCAUCCUCUUAUAAUUGGUGGUUGGAAUGCAUUAACUAAUUUUCUUGAAUUAGAUAACAAUGUUGAUGUUAAACUUGCAUACUAUGGUUAUCAAUGCUUCCGCAUUAUUUCUAAACAUGUGAUUGAAUCUUCAAAUCAAUUACGACCAUUUCAUAGUAGAAGUACUUCUCCACGGUGUAC